rnacentral:lncRNA from 1 species
AGACUGCAAGCAUCUACAGAAUGUUCCUAAAACAUUAAAGUUAUUACAAGUUAAGAGGGAUGGGCCCUGAGCAUGAGCUGCCCGUCAACAACCUGCAUCACCACGGUGCAGGGAGUGAGGUCCAGCUCAGGGUGCACACAGGCAACCUGAGCAAGGGCAUCCUCAAACCCCCAUCCAUAUGCGUCGGCGACAUCUUCAAUGAUCUCCGCUUCAGUCUUCUUGGCAAG